GGCAGCUUAGAGAGGGCAGACAAAGGAGGGAAUAGGAGGCACAAAGGGGCGCGGAAUGAAACGGAAAGGAGGAGAAACCGAGGGGAAAUUAAGGUUCGGAAUCAACCAUCUGCACCCAAUCACAAUUCAUUCUGGAAAAGUGGUCAGCAGCAGAGCUACCGGGAAGGUCAGGAGCCCCAAGAACCAGGUGCGUUCCAGCACCCCUCCUGCAGGCCCAGUGUCCAGAGGAGCCCAUCUGGUGUGAGCGAAGGACCCUUAGCCAAUGAUCUCCGGAGCGCACACGGGGCACAGCAGCAGCUUUCAAAGAGCUGUGCUCAGAGUUCCACAGGAGCUCAACAGGGUGGAAGGGAGAGCUCUAAGUGGAGGGAGAAAACCACACCCAGCCCCAGCCUAGCCAUGCAGUGAGGAGGAUGCCAGUGAGCCUGACCACCCAUUCGUGAAUCACAGGAGGCAUCUAAAUCCAGAACUCCUGUGCUGGAGGCAUGCAUCAAAGGCGGGACAGACGAGAUGAAGUAAACCCUUCCCUCUCCAACUUGCUUUUGGUCAUGGUAUUUAUCUCAGCAACAGAAAACAUACCAGCACACUUCCUUCCUGCCUUCUUCCCUUCCUCCUCUCUUUCCUCUUUUCCCUUUCUCCUUCCUUCCUGUUUCUUGAAACAGAGCCUUGUUGUAUGUAACCCAGACUGGCCUUAAAUUCAUCAUCUUCCUGUCUCGGCCCCCAGAAGGUGGAGGGCACAGGCGUGCUUUAUGUUACGCCCAGCCUACCAACAAUAUCUUUGAGAGUUGUAUCUCCACUUUCUUUGCAAGCCUUAGAGUUUUUAUUUGGGUUUUUUGUUUGUUUGUUUGUUUUUGUAACUUGAUCGUUUUGUGUUUUGUUUUGUUUUUUUUUUUCUUUUUUUCGGAGCUGGGGACCGAACCCAGGGCCUUGCGCUUGUUAGGCAAGCGCUCUACCACUGAGCUAAAUCCCCAACCCCAACUCGGUCGUUUUUUAAAGGUUUAUUUAUUUAAUGUAUAUGAGUACACUGUAGCUGUCUUCAGACAAACUAGAAGAGGGCAUCAACUAAUACAGAUGGUUGGGAGCCACCAUGUGGUUGCUGGGAACUGAACUCGGGACCUCUGGAAGAGCAGUCAGUGCUCUUAACCAUUGAGCCAU